AUGGUAAUCAGGAAGAUCAGGUUAUGCAGGAAAACUGUAAUGGUGAUCACCAAGACCAAGUUAUGUAGGAGCACCAUAAGGAUGGGCCUAUUCUUGUCAAAUGUUAGUCAGCCUCCGGUGUUAACCCUGUUUCAAAAUGUGAUUCGGCAUCCGGUGUUAAUUCUGUUGCAAGAUAUGAGUCAACACCAGAUGUUAAUCCUGAAAAGCUUGAGAAGGGCAAAGAAAAGGCAAUGCACGACCAGAGCAAUUAUGUUAGCAACACAAAAGAGGGUGAUGAUAGCAAUGAGAGUAUGGAGAGUUGUCCUAGGAUGA
rnacentral:rRNA from 1 species